UGUACUUUAUUUUAAUAAGAAUGAGUAAUUUUGGUUUACUAGGUUGGGUACAG
rnacentral:tRNA from 1 species